UAGGGAAUCUUCCACAAUGGACGCAAGUCUGAUGGAGCAACGCCGCGUGAGUGAAGAAGGUUUUCGGACCGUAAAGCUCUGUUGUUGGUGAAGAAGGAUAGAGGUAGUAACUGGCCUUUAUUUGACGGUAAUCAACCAGAAAGUCACGGCUAACUACGUGCCAGCAGCCGCGGUAAUACGUAGGUGGCAAGCGUUGUCCGGAUUUAUUGGGCGUAAAGCGAGCGCAGGCGGAAGAAUAAGUCUGAUGUGAAAGCCCUCGGCUUAACCGAGGAAUUGCAUCGGAAACUGUUUUUCUUGAGUGCGGAAGAGGAGAGUAGAACUCCAUGUGUAGCGGUGGAAUGCGUAGAUAUAUGGAAG
rnacentral:rRNA from 1 species